rnacentral:rRNA from 1 species
CCCUUAGAUGUUCUGGGCCGCACGCGCGCUACACUGGUCGAUGCAACGAGUUUCUUUCCUUGGCCGACAGGCCUGGGCAAUCUUUGAACAUCGAUCGUGAUCGGGAUAGAUUCUUGUAAUUUUUGAUCUUAAACGAGGAAUUCCUAGUAAACGCAAGUCAUCAGCUUGCAUUGAUUACGUCCCUGCCCUUUGUACACACCGCCCGUCGCACCUACCGAUUGAAUGGUCCGGUGAAAUCUCGGGACGGCGGCUUGGUCGCUUGCGUCCGACUGCUGAAACUUGAUUAAACCAUAUCAUUUAGAGGAAGGUGAANUCGUAACA